CCUACGGGUGGCUGCAGUGGGGAAUUUUGGACAAUGGGCGCAAGCCUGAUCCAGCAAUGCCGCGUGCAGGACGAAGGCCUUCGGGUUGUAAACUGCUUUUGUACGGAACGAAACGGUCUCUCCUAAUACGAGAGGCUAAUGACGGUACCGUAAGAAUAAGCACCGGCUAACUACGUGCCAGCAGCCGCGGUAAUACGUAGGGUGCAAGCGUUAAUCGGAAUUACUGGGCGUAAAGCGUGCGCAGGCGGUUAUAUAAGACAGAUGUGAAAUCCCCGGGCUCAACCUGGGACCUGCAUUUGUGACUGUAUAGCUAGAGUACGGUAGAGGGGGAUGGAAUUCCGCGUGUAGCAGUGAAAUGCGUAGAUAUGCGGAGGAACACCGAUGGCGAAGGCAAUCCCCUGGACCUGUACUGACGCUCAUGCACGAAAGCGUGGGGAGCAAACAGGAUUAGAUACCCCGGUAGUC
rnacentral:rRNA from 1 species